AUCGCCCAUGUUACAUCUCACAAGAAAUAUUUUCAAUUUAUGUUUAUAUUUACCAAUUGUAUGUAUAUUUUAUAAAUCAAAUUAUAAGACUUGUAUGCAUAUUUAAUACAAUUUUUUUAUUUAAUCCUUGUGUCCACAAUCAAAUUUACUUACGUUAUUCCAUAACCAAAGUAUCCGGAUACCUGGAUAAUGUUGAAAUUUCACCCGUAAAUGCUUUGGAGCAUGGAAAGUUUGCUCUGUCGUUGAUAUUUGACUGUUGUGAUGUAUAAAAAAAGGAUAGAAAUCUUUUUCAGGCAUAUAACCCACUCUGACUCACACAAAAGGAGUUUUGAAUAAAAUUAGUCAGCUGACCGCGCGGCCGUACUGCGGUCAUUUGAAAUUUAAAAUGAGACAAAAAAAGGAAGUUUGCGUAUAUACACUGUAGGUUCAAAUAAACGAGACGAGCAAUAUUAGCUCAGUAUAUAUCGGACUUUUUACAGGUAAACACGCAUUUGUUUAAAGCGACUCGAGAUUUCUCGCAACUAUCAACUUAUGCGCAUUGCACGUGCAAAGUGCAUUAUAUUUUUGAGUGUUUUCGUAAACUGAAUAACUUACUGUCCCAUUUGUUGUGAAACUAAGCAAAGAAGAAAUGAAAAAUUAUCAAGAGCUGAGUUUGAUAAAUUAAGUACUGAAGAACAAGAUCUGUAUUUAAAACAACUAUUAGACGACUCAGAUGCAGAAAGUUACAUGUAGUCGGAUAGUGAUAUCGAAGAGUAGUACCUCAGUAAGAGCACGCCUCGAAACAAGCAGCUACUGAUAGUAGUGCCAGAUGACGCCAAGAAGAAACGAAAAAUCAAUCAUUACUGUAAUAUUGUAAAUACAAAGCUGGAAUCAACGCAAUGGUUCAAAUGACUGGAAGGUACACAAGCCUAUGGCGUACUCUGAGAUGGCCGCUCAUUCUUUUCUAUAACAUCACAGACGAUGUAAUUCUUGCAGCUUAUAUUAUUUAUUAUAAAAAUAAUAAAAUGUUAAAGAAAAAACAAAUAAAUGUAGAAUAUUCACAAGACAAUUAAGUUAUGAGCUUGUUCUUCCAAUAAUUAAAGAUUAAUCGCAAAAUUAACAAAUAAUGAGACAUUAUAAUGUAAAACAGACAAUAGAGAUUAUCCUCAGUAAGCUAAUAAAUCUCGUUGAACAUUCUUCUGGAUCUGAACAAAGAAGGAAUAAUAAGAGCAGAAAAAUAUAUGGGUUAUGUCAUCUAUGCUACAAACUAUAAAAAAUGCUGAAAAACAUGAAAAUCUUGUUAAAAACCAGUGUGUGAAAAACAUGCUAUUACUAUUACAAAAUCUGUAGAAUGUAAUAAAUAAAUAGUUAUUACUGUGUUUAUUUAUAAAAGUUUGUUUUUAUUUAUUUCACAAGCCUUGUCAUUAAUUGACUUGAUUACUGCAGAUAAAUAAUACAUUUGUAUUAAUACCGGGUACCCUGAUUGUGGCUCAGGUGUAUGUAAACUUUAAUGCAAUAUAUUUAAUUCCAGCUCUUAAAAAAUUAAAGUAAAAGCAUAUUUCAAUAGUAAAAUGAUCAAAUCGCAACGAUCGCGA